GUGUGGAGGAGGGCCUGCGACCACAAUCAAGUGUCCCCCCACGCAGGGCUUGCUGUGGGGGUGAGAGAGCAGUCCGUCCCAGAUGACCAACCCCAUUCUCCAGAUGAAGGGGUGGCUUCCUGGGUCCUGGCGGAAGAUAAACUCACUGGGGUAGAGACUUCUCUUCUGUUCACUGCUGACUCUCCAGCACCCAGCACAGCGCCUGGCAUGUAGUAGGUGUGCAAUAAAUACCUGCUGGUAGAAUAAACUCAUUUCAGAAGCUUGACUGAUGGAUGGGAAAGAGUGGGGCAUUGACCAAACACCAGGAAACCAUCGCUCCAUGGGACUGUUAUGAAGAGGCUUCCUCAUUGACUGUUGAAGUUCUCGGGGGGCAGGAAUCACUUUUGUUGCUCAUUAUUACGCCCCUUAGCGCCUAGCAAAGUGUCUAGCACAUAGUAAGCACUUAAAAUGUUUGUAAAAUAAAUAAAUCAAUAAAACAAAAAUAAAAUUUUAUUGCACUUACCAUGUA